GCUUUGGAGAGUGAGCCUUUGUGACUCCGCACUCUUGGACAGUAGCAUCCAGCAACACAGGAGACUUUAGCAGGGGAGAGGAAAAGACACAGCCUCCCAGAAAGCCCCAAACCCCAGAAAAAAUAAAGCAUAAAGCUGCACCGUUCGGAAGAAGCAAGACUGUCUUUCCUUACAGCUACGAUGCUGCACCGCUUUCGACACAGCCUGCUUUUCCUCGCGUUUACCUGGGCGGCUGCUGCUCUUUCUGCUGCUGCUGGGGCUGCUGCAGUCUUGUUUCCUGUGCUUCACCCUGGCUUGGCUGACUCGAAACUCUCCCAUCUGCACAUUGCUAAGGAAGAAGAACGAUGGAGCCGCGGUUUUUUUUGUUGGCUCUGGAAGCAAAGGGUUGCGAUACGUGACGAUUUUGGGGUUUUCUUUGGUGGGGGGGAGGGAGGAGAAAAGAAGGGUGUUAAUCUAGAAUGGGGUGGGUGAAAGCUUAAAGAAAUAUUAUGUAAAGUAAUCCAGUGCUCGACAAGGGCAUCAGCAACAAGAAUCCAGCCUCUGCUGCUCCAGAGGAUUAACAUGAGGAAGCCACACUGCUGAAGUCAGGUUUCACCUCAGUGUUGUGCUGGAGAUGGAUAAAUAAGGUAUCGGUUGCACCUGCCUGUUAAGGCAAAGCCAAGGGAGAAGGAGAGAGCGAGCAAAUGCAAAUGCAGAGGAAGAAGAAACGCUACGUGCCGUUUGUCUGAUACUGUGGAUUCUCGCUGCAGAGAGGAUGGCUUGAUUAACAAAGCAGUGUAUGGAGCGAGGGACUGUAAAUCGUAGCUUGAGCACUUCUGGUGCUGUCAAGGAGUGAACUGAUGAGUUAGGUGGCUGCAGGAAUAUCCCCAGGGAAAACAGCAGCCACUCACUCUGUGUGUAUCUGUGUAUGCAUGUGCUUUUGUGUGCGUGUGAACAUGUAUGGAAAUGAAAGCAAGACAUAUCUAACCAAUUUACAGAGCAUGUUUGUCACUUUGCUGGGUCAGACCUGAUUGCAGCUUGUAUUUUCAGCUACAGCUCUACACCCAUUUCCUGACUGAGGUGGCACUUUGUGAAAACAGAUGGUAGGCAGUAUUCUUUUAAGAAAUAUGAAAGCAGAUCCUUUCUGCUUAACACCUUAAAGCAUUGAAUCUUCUGCACUGUGCCGAGAGAAACCGUGGGGUUUCAUUUUCUCCAUCUUAAAAUCUCUAUAAACACAGCUGUAUUCAGUAUGGUGAAAAAAUUCUAUACUGUAAAUAGAAAUGUGAUCAAUCUAAUCAAAAUAAAUGCAUCCCAGAUGACUUCUAGACCAGCUGGCUACCACAGUCAUCAGAUGACUAAAUCCUCAACUGAGCAUUUGUAUUCAGUGUUGUAUUUGCAUCUUUUUCUUGGUUUUUUUUUUUUAGAUUUUCAAAAUCAGCUCUAAUUGAAAAGGAUUCUUUACAUACUGAGAAAAGGCAAUGCUUGUAUUUGGCAAUCAAUUUCUGUGAGAUGUACCUGGGUGUAUUUUUUACUGCCGAACCUGCAUGGGGAAGACCAUGUUUUUAGGGACAGGUAGACCUGUCACAGUACAGGCAUAUUUCAUUCUGUAGGCAGCUCGGCUUGGUCAUAUCUGAACAAUGCAGAAAGAGGGGAAACAAGUGCUGCAGUCAGCUAGCAAGUCUUGGCAUGGUUUCCAGCAGCUGCAUACCGAGAAGGACGUUUUUUUUUUCCCUUUCCUUUUUUUCCCUUUCAUACAAAGCCAUGGACCAUAAUGUCAACGUAAAAUGUGUACGAGGGGAUUUCCCAAUAGUCAUGGUGAGCUACCCUGUAAGAUGCCUGUCUGGUCCUUCCACUAUUUGUUCCCCAGCCUACAAAGGCAGCCCUCUGUGUUGGAUUAUAUUUAGCCAGCUGUUGGAUAACAUUCUUGUGCUGGGGGCAAAGGAGUCUUAUUACUCCCAAACUGUAGUUUUCUGUUUGCUUAAAGAAAAAAACUUUGGCAAUGCAGCAGGCUCUGCAAAGGAGUUUAUGCCACUGCCUAUACCUUUCUGAAACUGUCGUGUUCUUCUAACUCGGGCAGCUUAAAGCAAGAAAGGAGGGAGGAGGAGAGGCUCUUAACUCACGGCUUCAAAGCUGCAGAGACGAGCGAAAUGUCAGCAGCUUGUAAUUAGGAGCCCACGGUUACGUCAGUGACUGUAUCUCUCCAAGAAUAGCUAUGUGAUGUGUGCCACAAAGCAAAAGAAGACUCUCAAAACCUGGUUAACAAGCCUGGUUCAAACAAGAAAGAGCAAAAUGGAUUAAUGAAUCUGCUGUGUUCCUAAAAUCAGAUGUGGAUGGAUUACAUGCACAAGGCUCGCUGAAUUCUGCAGCAGUGAAGACUGAAUUAUCAGUUUGUCAGAGGGCAAGACAUUCACAGAAAGUGCAAAUCUUUCAGAAAAAAAUGCAGAUGAACAAUCUGUCCUUGAGAAUGUCUUUCCUAGCUCUGUCCUGUACAGGCAGCUGCAUGACAUGGAGGCAUGCUCUGAGGGAAGAGACCAGCAAGCUACUCACAAAGGUGUUUAAAAGAAGGGUAUAAUUAAACAUAAAGCAAGCUUGAUGAAAUUCUGUUCUGGCAUUACAGAUUUGAUACCAAAAUACCACCCCAGAGAAGACCGGCUGGGCUCUGGAGUGGUUUAUAUUGAGGUUUUUCUGGUUAAGAGCAAGGGGGGAGGGACAGGGCUUCGUGCAGCAUCUUGCAGCCAUGCAGAAAUCCCCAGGGCUGUGGGAAGUAGGAGGGAUGGGCGCAGCUAUGAGCUCUUAAAGACACAUGCCCAUAUCCCACCCAGGGGCUCUCUGACCUCUGCGAUUAUUUUUAGGUCCGUGAAGGCAACUGGGCAGCGCUUUAGCAGCGAGAUUGCAGGGGGUGCUUAAUCUGCUGCGACUGUGUCAUGGCUGGAAUAUGUUUGCUGGGCUUUCAUCAAUACCCCUCCACCACAUCCAGUGUGCAUGUCUCUCGGUUUUCCCGACGCCCAAUUGCUGGAAGUCUGGUGUGGUUCCCUGCUCCCAGCAGAAGUCACUUGCAGUUAAGCUCUGUUGUAGUCGCUCUUUAAUUUACCAGGAUAGGCAGAUUGUCUUAUGCAAACAGUGGGGUGGGUGGUUUUUGGUUUUAGUGGUUUUAUUUUUUUUUUUGGACUGUGAACAGAAAUUUGUAGGAGGAGGUGACUCUGUAUAUUAAACCAAUAGCUCUUUGAA